GAUGCUUCAGUGAGUACCGCAGGCCACGGUUCGAGUAUGCAGAAAUGCUUUUUCGAGAAGCGUUCACACGCCUCUUGGUAUGCUGGGAUGUCGUAUUCCCCAUCUCCAUCCAUCUGCAUGACAGCAUCAAUGACGGGCAACAACAGCCGGAACAAUCGUUCUCUCUCUCUUUGGCGGAGAGAGCUGCGAUCCGACAUGAAUUGGCGAUAACCAACUUGUGAAGGCCACGCGACUUCCUUCCAGAAUAUAUGCUGGCUAGCAUACCACCCCAGCUGUGGCCGUAGAUAGAGAAUCCGACUUUUCGCAGCUCGAAAUGGUCCACGAGAUUGUCAAGCUCAGCACAGAACAAAUCAAAGCCCAAGAAAGCUCUCAUCUUCGGCUUUAUCGCGGAUGAGAGAUGAGUGUGAGCACCCAACCUAGUCAUAGAAGAUGCAAGGAAUGCCUGCAGCUUCGAGUGGCUUCGCAAGAUGGAAAUGGUAAUCAGAGCCAGCGCCCGGACCCCGGACCUUAUAAGGCGUUGCGAACCCAUCAAGACUUGCAGCCCAUAAUUCAAGUCAAUGUCAC
rnacentral:sRNA from 1 species